rnacentral:lncRNA from 12 species
CCCCCCCCCCCCCCCCCCCCCCCCCCCCCCCCCCCCCCCCCCCCCCCCCCCCCCCCCCCCCCUUCCGGGUUUGGUUUUUUUUUUUUUUUUUUGGGAUGGGGAAAGUGGGAAAAUCCUGUGGGAUGAAGGAGGGAAUUCCCAAUUUUUCCAGGACUCCUUUUCCUGGAAUUCCCAAUUUUCCCAGAGCUCCUUUCUCCAGAAUUCCCAAUUUUUCCAGAGCUCCUUUUUCCAGAAUUCCCAAUUUUCCCAGAGCUCCUUUUCAUGGAAUUCCCAAUUUUCCCAGGGCUCCUUUUCCCGGAAUUUGCCCCAGGAUCUCUCUGGGAUGUUCCAGGCCGGGGAUGUCUGGGGGGGGUUGGGAUCCUCCUGGAUCUACAUUCCCAAAUCUCUGUCCCAAAUUCCCAAAUUCCCAUCCCAAAAUCUGUCCCCAAUUCCCAAAAUUCCAUCCUGAAUUCCCAAACUCCAUCCCCAAUCCCAAACCUCCAUCUCCCAUCCCAAAAAUCUGUCCCUAAUUCCCAAAUUUCUCCCCACAUUCCCAAAUCCCCAAUUCCCAAAUCUCCAUUUCCAAAUCCCCGAAUCUCCAUUUCCAAAUUCCCAAAUCUCCAUUUCCAAAUUCCCAAAUCUCCAUUCCCCAAUCUCAAAUCUCCAUCUCCCAUCCUUUUUUNNNNNNNNNNNNNNNNNNNNNNNNNNNNNNNNNNNNNNNNNNNNNNNNNNNNNNNNNNNNNUAUUCCCCAAUCUCAAAUCUCCAUCUCCCAUCCCAAAAUCUGUCCCCCAUUCCCAAAUUUAUCCCCAAAUUUAUCCCCAAUCCCCAAAUCUCUGUUCCCAAUUCUCAGAUUCCCCUUCCCAAAUCCCAAUUCCCAAAUUUCUCCCCACAUUCCCAAAUCCCCAAUUCCCAAUCCCAAAUCCCCAUUCCCAAAUCCCCAAUUCCCAAUCCCAGAUUUCCCUUCCCAAAUUUCCAUUCCCAAUUCCCAGAUUUCCCUUCCCGAAUCUCAGUUCCCAAAUCCCGAUUCCCACAUUUCCCUUCCAAAAUUUUCCAUUCCCAAAUCCCGGUUCCCCAAAUUUCUCCCCACAUUCCCAAAUCCCAAAUUUCCCUUCCCAAAUCUCCAUCCCCAAAUCCCCACAUCCCCAAACCUCCCUCCCCGAUCCCAUUUGGAUUUUUCCCACCCCGGAAUUUCUUUUUUUCCCUUGGGAAUUCUGACCUUUCCCGCCCUUAUUGCUCUGGAAAACGGCUUCGAUUUGGGAAUCCCCAAAAAACCAAAAAAACAAAACAAAAAAAAAAUCCAAACCCCAAAAUCCCCAAAUCCCACGGAUUCUUCAAAAUCCCAUCAAAAGAGGAAGGGAAAAAAACCAAACCCCCCCCCCCCCCCCCCCCCCCCCCCCCCCCCCCCCCCCCCCCCCCCCCCCCCCCCCCCCCCCCCC